AGGGCCACGUCAUAUUGAAAACGCCAGUUCCCAUAUGAUUACCAAAGUUAAGCAACAUUGAGCCUGGUCAGUACCUAGAUGGGUGACUGCUUGUGAAUAUCAGGUGCUGUAA